rnacentral:rRNA from 1 species
UCAAGCUACUAAGGGCAUACGGUGGAUGCCUAGGCGCCAAGAGCCGAAGAAGGACGCGGUAAGCUGCGAAAAGCCACGGGGAACUGCAAGCAAGUAUUGAUCCGUGGAUAUCCGAAUGGGGAAACCCGGCCAUCGUCAUGGAUGGUCACCCGCAAGGGAGGGAACCUGGGGAACUGAAACAUCUAAGUACCCGGAGGAAGAGAAAUCAAACGAGAUGCCCACAGUAGCGGCGAGCGAAGAGGGCAGAGCCCAAACCGAGAAGCUCCGGCUUUUCGGGGUUGAGGACCGGCAGAAUCGAAGUCAGGCCUAGUCGAAUUACCUGGAAAGGUAAGCGAGAGAGGGUAAAAGCCCCGUAGACGAAAGGCAGAGCAGAGAGGCCGAGAUCCAGAGUACCACGAAGCACGAGGAAUUUUGUGGGAAGCAGGGGGGACCACCCUCCAAGGCUAAAAACUACUUGGCGACCGAUAGCGCAUAGUACCGUGAGGGAAAGGUGAAAAGAACCCCGGGAGGGGAGUGAAAUAGUACCUGAAACCGUAUGUCUACAAGCAGUCGAAGCGAAAGCGACGGCGUGCCUAUUGAAGAAUGAACCAACGAGUUAUCUGCACUAGCGAGGUUAAGUGGAAGACACGGAGCCGCAGCGAAAGCGAGUCUUAAGAGGGCGCUAGUUAGUGUAGGUAGACCCGAAACCGCAGUGAUCUACCCAUGUCCAGGUUGAAGCGCAGGUAAAAUUGCGUGGAGGACCGAACCGGUGAGCGUUGAAAAGCUUUCGGAUGAGAUGUGGGUAGGGGUGAAAUUCCAAUCGAACGCGGAGAUAGCUGGUUCUCCCCGAAAUAGCUUUAGGGCUAGCCUGAGGUAGUAAGUAUAGGCGGUAGAGCACUGAUCGGGCUAGGGGCCGUAAAGGUUACCGAACCCUGUCAAACUCCGAAUGGAUAUACUGUAGAGCCUUGGAGUCAGACUACGAGUGAUAAGAUCCGUGGUCAAAAGGGAAACAGCCCAGACCACCAGCUAAGGUCCCCAAUGUCGUACUAAGUGGAAAAGGAUGUGGGGUUUCAUAAACAACCAGGAUGUUGGCUCAGAAGCAGCCACCAUUUAAAGAGUGCGUAAUAGCUCACUGGUCGAGAGACCCUGCGCCGAAGAUUCCCGGGGCUAAAGUACGAAACCGAAGCUGUGGCUGUAUACGUAAAGUAUACGGGGUAGGGGAGCGUUCCCAUAGGGUAGAAGUCGAACUGGAAGGUUCGGUGGACUUGUGGGAAGUGAGAAUGUUGGUAUGAGUAGCGAAAAGAAAGGUGAGAAUCCUUUCCACCGAAAGCAUAAGGAUUCCUGAGCAACGAUCGUCGUCUCAGGGUAAGUCGGGACCUAAUCCGAGGCAGAGAGCGUAGGAGAUGGACAACUGGUUGAUAUUCCAGUACCGGUAGUAAUUGUUUGAGCAAUGGAGUGACACAGAAGGGCAGGCAAGCAUGCGAAUGGAAGAGCAUGUGUAAGCGUGUAGGGUGGUGCAUAGGCAAAUCCGUGCACUGAAAGCCUGAGGCGUGAUGCGGAGUGAGCAGAGAUGCGAGCGAAGUUGUUGACCCCACACUGUCGAGAAAAGCUUCUAGUGAGAGAGCUACCGCCCGUACCGUAAACCGACACAGGUAUGCGGGGAGAGAAUCCUAAGGUGCGCGGGAGAACCCUCGUUAAGGAACUCGGCAAAAUGUACCCGUAACUUCGGGAUAAGGGUAGCCACUGUUGUGAAGUCCCAUGCGGAUGGAGCAUAGAGUGGUCGCAGAGAAGAGGCCCAAGCGACUGUUUACCAUAAACACAGGUGCCUGCUAAAGCGAAAGCUGACGUAUAGGUGCUGACACCUGCCCAGUGCCGGAAGGUUAAGGAAGGAUGUUCGGAGUAAUCCAAAGCAUUCGACUGAAGCCCCGGUGAACGGCGGCCGUAACUAUAACGGUCCUAAGGUAGCGAAAUUCCUUGUCGGGUAAGUUCCGACCCGCACGAAAGGUGUAACGAUUUGGGCACUGUCUCAACGAGGGACCCGGUGAAAUUGAA